rnacentral:lncRNA from 1 species
AAACUAGACUAGGGAUAACUCAUAAGAUGCCUAUGGGUAACCCGUCCAGAAAAGAGACAAAGAAAGACCUCUCAAAAGCCGGUUCUUAGGCAGACGUCCCCAGGUAAGAGCAGCCUUUCUCUUAUAUAGGAAAGGACAACUGCCACUUUCUUAUGUGAAUACCGGGUUCUUUCACUCCUCAAUCUCACUCUUUAGUGAAAGUCUCUAUUUCACUUUCAAAAAGCAGUCUACACAAAAUUCCCUCUUCGAUGCUAAAAAUAGGUGUUGUCUCUUUCUAGUAAAUAGAAUCAUUCCUAUCAUAUCAUGACUGUAAAGCAAUGGAAUAAGCAAUCUCAUAUGUCAUUCUUGCAUCAUGAUGCCGAGAACCGUCUGCUCUCUCUUU